GUGAAAGCCCUGGGCUCAACCUAGGAACUGCAUCCAAAACUAACUCACUAGAGUACGAUAGAGGGAGGUAGAAUUCAUAGUGUAGCGGUGGAAUGCGUAGAUAUUAUGAAGAAUACCAGUGGCGAAGGCGGCCUCCUGGAUCUGUACUGACACUGAGGUGCGAAAGCGUGGGUAGCGAACAGGAUUAGAUACCCUGGUAGUCCACGCCGUAAACGAUGACAACUAGCUGUUGGGAGACAAUGUCUUUCAGUGGCGCAGCUAACGUUUUAAGUUGUCCACCUGGGGAGUACGGCCGCAAGGCUAAAACUCAAAUGAAUUGACGGGGACCCGCACAAGCGGUGGAGCAUGUGGUUUAAUUCGAUGCAACGCGAAAAACCUUACCUACUCUUGACAUACUUGGAAGCUCUUGUAAUGAGAGUGUGCCUUUUGGAACCAAGAUACAGGUGCUGCAUGGCUGUCGUCAGCUCGUGUCGUGAGAUGUUCCGUUAAGUCGGAUAACGAGCGCAACCCUUACCCUUAUUUGCCAGCGAUUCGGUCGGGAACUAUAAGGGGACUGCCGGUGAUAAACCGGAGGAAGGUGAGGACGACGUCAAGUCAUCAUGGCCCUUACGAGUAGGGCUACACACGUGCUACAAUGGGGAAUACAGACGGACGCUAAGCCGCGAGGUGGUGCUAAUCCUAGAAAGUUCUUCGUAGUCCGGAUUGGAGUCUGCAACUCGACUCCA
rnacentral:rRNA from 1 species